UUCUCUUUCUUUUCCCUUCCUUGGCACUAGCGCCUUUCUCUCUCUCUCUCUCUCUUUUGCGUUGAAACUUUUCUUCUUCCCUGUGACAUUCAAUUCAUUCUAUCCCUGUUUUGGUUUAUGAUAUUGAUAAGCUUUGUGGAAUUUUUUACAAAGGUCUUCCUUUAAUUUGAAGAACCACAUGUUGAUUCAUAAAAAUAGUUCUUUAAAAUCAAGCACCGCAUGGAAUUAAAACACAAUAGAUUGAGAUACCCAUAGAGGCACCCAACUUGGCAGAGACACCCAUCGUUUAUUCAAUUUCUCAAAGUUUGUUAAUUUGUUUGAAAUUUAUCUCAAUACUUGGUUCAAUUUUUGUUGGUAAGAAUAAAUAAAAAAUCUCUAUCAUUGUUGGACUGUAGAGAUGCUUGUGUG
rnacentral:lncRNA from 1 species